AUUGAACGCUGGCGGCAUGCCUUACACAUGCAAGUCGAACGGCAGCACGGGAGCUUGCUCCUGGUGGCGAGUGGCGAACGGGUGAGUAAUACAUCGGAACGUACCCAGUAGUGGGGGAUAACGCACCGAAAGGUGCGCUAAUACCGCAUACGACCUACGGGUGAAAGCGGGGGACCGUAAGGCCUCUCGCUAUUGGAGCGGCCGAUGUCUGAUUAGCUAGUUGGUGAGGUAAAGGCUCACCAAGGCUUCGAUCAGUAGCUGGUCUGAGAGGACGAUCGGCCACACUGGGACUGGGACACGGCCCAGACUCCUACGGGAGGCAGCAGUGGGGAAUUUUGGACAAUGGGCGAAAGCCUGAUCCAGCAAUGCCGCGUGUGCGAAGAAGGCCUUCGGGUUGUAAAGCACUUUUGUCAGGGAAGAAAUCUUUUAGGCUAAUACCCUGGAAGGAUGACGGUACCUGAAGAAUAAGCACCGGCUAACUACGUGCCAGCAGCCGCCGUAA
rnacentral:rRNA from 1 species